rnacentral:tRNA from 1 species
AGUGAUUAAGAGCUUGGCUGCUAACCAACAGGUUGGUGGUUCGAAUCCACCAGCCACUC